CCUACGGGUGGCAGCAGUGGGGAAUAUUGGACAAUGGGGGGAACCCUGAUCCAGCGACGCCGCGUGAAUGAAGAAGUAUUUCGGUAUGUAAAGCUCUAUCAGCGGGGAGAAAAUGACGGUACCUGAACAAAAAGCCCCGGCUAACUACGUGCCAGCAGCCGAGGUAAUACGUAGGGGGCAAGCGUUAUCCGGGUUUACUGGGUGAAAAGUGAGCGGAGACGGUGCAGCAAGUCUGAUGGGAAAGGUCGGGGCCCAACCCCGGGACUGCAUUGGAAACUGUUGACCUGGAGUACAGGAGAGGUAAGCGGAAUUCCUAGUGUAGCGGUGAAAUGCGUAGAUAUUAGGAGGAACACCAGUGGCGAAGGCGGCUUACUGGACUGUAACUGACGUGAGGCUCGAAAGCGUGGGGAGCAAACAGGAUUAGAUACCCCUGUAGUC
rnacentral:rRNA from 1 species